GCUGGUGUAGCUCAAUUGGCAGAGCAGCUGUUUUGUAAACAGCCGGUUGCAGGUUCGAUGCCUGUCACCAGCC
rnacentral:tRNA from 1 species